GUAGGGGGCAAGCGUUAUCCGGAUUUACUGGGUGUAAAGGGAGCGUAGACGGCGAUGCAAGCCUGGAGUGAAAGGCGGGGGCUCAACCCCCGGACUGCUUUGGGAACUGCAUGGCUGGAGUGUCGGAGAGGCAGGCGGAAUUCCUAGUGUAGCGGUGAAAUGCGUAGAUAUUAGGAGGAACACCAGUGGCGAAGGCGGCCUGCUGGACGAUGACUGACGUUGAGGCUCGAAAGCGUGGGGAGCAAA
rnacentral:rRNA from 1 species